rnacentral:rRNA from 1 species
UACAGAGGGGGCAAGCGUUGUUCGGAAUUACUGGGCGUAAAGGGCGCGUAGGCGGCCUGCUAAGUCGAACGUGAAAUCCCCGAGCUCAACUCGGGAACUGCGUCCGAUACUGGCGGGCUUGAAUCCGGGAGAGGGAUGCGGAAUUCCAGGUGUAGCGGUGAAAUGCGUAGAUAUCUGGAGGAACACCGGUGGCGAAGGCGGCAUCCUGGACCGGCAUUGACGCUGAGGCGCGAAAGCUAGGGGAGCAAACGGGG